UUGUGACCUCAUGGCCAGGGUGGAGAUGUUUGGAGAACUGAAUCUGCCUUCUUUGGAAGGGAGCUCAUCCUGUCCAGCUGCUCUGCCCAAGGGCUGUGACACAGUCCCAGCCCAGCUGAUCUCACAAGCUGGGACAUGAAGGGAUGGAGAGCAGCUCUGCCAAGAAGGAUUGGGGGUACUGCUAGAAGAGAGCCUGGACAUGAGCCAGCCAUGUGCAUUGAAGGGAGAGUGCCCAGCAAAUUGAAGGCAGUGAUUCCCCAACUCUGCUCAGCUGAACCUGCUGGUGAAGGUGGUGCAGCUUCCCAAGCCACAUCCAGGACUGAGGCUGUGGGAGAUGCUGAGGGUAGGUCAAGGCCUUUCCCCUGGGAGAGCUGCCAGCUCAGAGCCCAAAGCUGGGCCAGGGGGGCAUCGCUGCAGGUGCCAGCACAGAACCAUGCACGUGUGUGCCCUCGCCCUGUGUGAUUCCCUCACCUCUCCUGCGGCUCAGUGGUGCCCGUGCAGAUCAGCAGAGAUGGCAGAAGCUUCUGUGGCUGUUGAGUUACAGGUGUGUCUGCAGGGAGGACUUGUCCAGCUCCUUUGCUGAUUCCUACACAGAAGCCUGCCUCCCAUGGCAGGGGUCCUCCAAAAGGGAAGGACCAAGCUACAGGACACCAGAAACCCCAUGAUCCAUCCGAAAACAUGAGGCAAAUGCUGAAGGAAAUGCAGCAGGCAGGAGAAGGUGGGUGCAUUUCUCUCAUGCUUCCCUUGGGUCUCAGCAUCUGGGGGCUUUG